CCCUGAGUCAUGUUAUUAGCCACAUCCAGAAUCCAGAAUCCGAAAACGAAUACCCCGAUAGCUCUUGGCCUGGUGUUCCCCCUGUCCCCCAACAACCACCCGAUAUCGGCGGAGUGGCCGAUGAUUAAAACGGAAAAACAAAUUAAACUUGCACCAGUAAAGAUAAACGGCCUUCGGCGGCCGAACCGGCUGGUGCAGCGGUCACUCAUGUGGCCAACGAGGGGCUGCACCACCAGGCCCGAUAAUGGCCC
rnacentral:misc_RNA from 1 species